UACAGAGGGGGCAAGCGUUAUUCGGAAUUAUUGGGCGUAAAGGGCGCGUAGGCGGCUUUGCAAGUGACGGGUGAAAUCCCUCGGCUUAACCGAGGAACUGCCUGUCAAACUGCAUGGCUUGAGACCGGGAGAGGUGAGUGGAAUUCCCAGUGUAGCGGUGAAAUGCGUAGAUAUUGGGAAGAACACCGAUGGCGAAGGCAGCCAUCUGGACCGACACUGACGCUGAGGCGCGAAAGCGUGGGGAGCAAACAGGG
rnacentral:rRNA from 1 species